UACGUAGGGGGCGAGCGUUGUCCGGAUUUAUUGGGCGUAAAGAGCUCGUAGGCGGUUGGGUAAGUCGGGUGUGAAAACUCAGGGCUCAACUCUGAGACGCCACUCGAUACUGCCCUGACUCGAGUCCGGUAGGGGAGCGUGGAAUUCCCGGUGUAGCGGUGAAAUGCGCAGAUAUCGGGAGGAACACCAGUGGCGAAGGCGGCGCUCUGGGCCGGAACUGACGCUGAGGAGCGAAAGCGUGGGUAGCAAACAGG
rnacentral:rRNA from 2 species